UUUUACCUGGUUGUCCAUGGGAUAUCUAUCUCAACAGCCCUGCUCUCCUGUGGUCUAUAUAGGCAAGAUCUUCAUCACAUCCACCUUCCUCCAGGAACACAGUGUACUUUUGGGAGAAAAACUUAAAGGGAAAGCAGAGAUGAUACGAAAGACUCCCAACCUAGAGCCGCAGAGCCUGGGAUGUCCUCAAGCAGGCUGGGCCUGACCUGGGGCACCUUAUUUGAAAGACAGUUCUUCUCCAAAUGGCUAUUACCUUCCUCC